CGCCCAGUAGAGAUGUGAUAUUAUUCAAGUAAAUAAAACCUGAAACUUGGCACAUUUGCCUAUUUAAUGUGCAUCAGUCAUCUGAACUAGGUUGAUCCUGGAAUAAUGAAAACACUUCACUAGUAUUAACUAAUGUUUUCUACAUAGUAGUUCCCAAUAGAUUAAGGAAAAUUUCCAACCUGAGAUUCUUUGUUUUGGAAUUUGAAUAAUGUGUUUGUAACUAUUCCUUGAUUGUCCCAAAUCCAGGCUUUACGUCUGCUUUUGUCAAUGUAACAUCCUAGUGCCAGGAAAUUGGAAAAUCCAAUGACUUUUUGUGUGUAAAGUACUGGAAUUUUUUUGUUCGUUUGUUUUUAAGACGGAGUGUCAACUCUCGCCCAGGCUGGGGUGCAGUGGCCUGAUCUCGGCUCACUGCAACCUUCUCCUCCCAGGCUGAAGUGAUUCUCCUGCCUCAGCCUCGCAAGUAGCUGGGACUGCAGGCAUGUGCCACCACUCCUGGCUAAUUAUUUGUAUUUUUAGUAGAGAGAGGGUUUCACCGUGUUAGCCAUGAUGGUCUCAUUCUCCUGACCUUGUGAUCCGCCCACCUCGGCCUCCCAAAGUGCUGGGAUUACAGGCGUGAGCCACUGUGCCCACCCUGGUAUGUUUUUUUUAAAUUGGCCACUUAAGAGUUGUCCUUCAGAAAGUGGAGCAGCAGUGUGAUUAGUAAAAACGAUGGGCUUUCCUGCAGCUCUGGCUUAUGGUCUUUGUUUUUCCAGUUAACAGCUGUUACUUCAUGCUGUUAUAGGGGGUGGGGGGAGAAAGAGAAAGAAUAUGUCUAGUGGCUUAAUUUUGGGGCUCAAUUUGUUUAUUAUGUUUUUCCUGCAAAAGAGUCACCAGUCUUGUCAUGGCUCAAUGCAUAUUUUAAAAUGAGUCAAAGCCAAUUUGGAAGCUGCUAUCUUAGGUUAUUUGUAGUCAGGCUUCAAAUGGAGAGUGAAACUUUGACUUUGAAAACUGGUGCUCUAUGCUCAAUGAUGGUCUUACACAUUCCUCUAGGGAAAGGUCAAGAAAUAAAUUUGGCUUGAUUGUAUUCUCUCAUUUACCAUAUAGGAAAUACUAUGGUAGAACUGAAAAUAUGUACAAUAGUAAAGUGGUGGCUGAGACUGGGCACUUGGAAAAUAGACUUGGAUUCUUUUCUAAGUGUGAAACUAAUUAAAUACUUUUAUGUGACUGGUAGUAGUCACAGUCUCCUUGAUUGAUUCUAGUUCCUUUUCAAAGUGGAGAGACCUGAAUAUAGAUUGUAACAGGAUGUCCAACCUUGCCAGACAAGCAGGCAUAUAUGUCUCUGGGAUGCAGAAGCAGUUACAAGUUAAUAUAUUUAAGCAUAAUGUUAGCCAAUCCUAGGUGAUACCAGAGAUGUGAAUAUUUGAUCAUAUUUGAGUUCAUUCCUUGAAAGUCCAAACCUAACUGGUCUUAAUUGAUUACUUCUUAGUAUUCCGAAUUUUAGAAUUUAAAACCCUAUGAAUUUUCAGUUUGUGCUUACAUUUUCUAACAUUGGAUGUUUGCUUUGGC
rnacentral:lncRNA from 10 species